rnacentral:rRNA from 1 species
UGGGGAAUAUUGGACAAUGGGCGAAAGCCUGAUCCAGCCAUGCCGCGUGUGUGAAGAAGGUCUUCGGAUUGUAAAGCACUUUAAGUUGGGAGGAAGGGCAGUAAGCGAAUACCUUGCUGUUUUGACGUUACCGACAGAAUAAGCUCCGGCUAACUCUGUGCCAGCAGCCGCGGUAAUACAGAGGGUGCAAGCGUUAAUCGGAAUUACUGGGCGUAAAGCGCGCGUAGGUGGUUCGUUAAGUUGAAUGUGAAAGCCCCGGGCUCAACCUGGGAACUGCAUCCAAAACUGGCGGGCUAGAGUAGGGCAGAGGGUGGUGGAAUUUCCUGUGUAGCGGUGAAAUGCGUAGAUAUAGGAAGGAACACCAGUGGCGAAGGCGACCACCUGGGCUCAUACUGACACUGAGGUGCGAAAGCGUGGGGAGCAAACAGG